UACGGGGGGAGCAAGCGUUGUUCGGAUUUACUGGGCGUAAAGAGCGCGCAGGCGGUCGUUCAAGUCGCGUGUGAAAGCCCCCGGCUCAACUGGGGAGGGUCACGCGAUACUGAUCGACUCGAAGGCAGGAGAGGGUAGUGGAAUUCCCGGUGUAGUGGUGAAAUGCGCAGAUAUCAGGAGGAACACCGGUGGCGAAGGCGGAUCUCUGGGCCUUACCUGACGCUCAGGUGCGAAAGCUAGGGGAGCGAACAGG
rnacentral:rRNA from 1 species